CAAACUGGAGAUGGCGACCGGCGCACGGGUGAGUAACACGUAUCCAACCUGCCGAUAACUCGGGGAUAGCCUUUCGAAAGAAAGAUUAAUACCCGAUGGCAUAAUAGAACCGCAUGGUUUGAUUAUUAAAGAAUUUCGGUUAUCGAUGGGGAUGCGUUCCAUUAGGCAGUUGGUGGGGUAACGGCCCACCAAACCUUCGAUGGAUAGGGGUUCUGAGAGGAAGGUCCCCCACAUUGGAACUGAGACACGGUCUAAACUCCUACGGGAGGCAGCAUG
rnacentral:rRNA from 1 species